rnacentral:tRNA from 3 species
GGGCGCUUAGCUCAGUUGGUUUAGAGCAUCUGCCUUACAAGCAGAGGGUCGGAGGUUCGACUCCUUCAGCGCCCA